ACAGCAGUAGCCGCGGUAAUACGGAGGGAGCUAGCGUUGUUCGGAAUCACUGGGCGUAAAGCGCACGUAGGCGGCUAUUCAAGUCAGGGGUGAAAGCCCGGGGCUCAACCCCGGAACUGCCUUUGAAACUAGAUAGCUUGAAUCUUGGAGAGGCGAGUGGAAUUCCGAGUGUAGAGGUGAAAUUCGUAGAUAUUCGGAAGAACACCAGUGGCGAAGGCGACUCGCUGGACAAGUAUUGACGCUGAGGUGCGAAAGCGUGGGGAGCAAACAGGAUUAGAGACCCCGGUAGUCCCUGUCUCUUAUAC
rnacentral:rRNA from 1 species